rnacentral:rRNA from 1 species
CCUACGGGUGGCUGCAGUGAGGAAUAUUGGUCAAUGGACGAGAGUCUGAACCAGCCAAGUAGCGUGAAGGAUGACUGCCCUAUGGGUUGUAAACUUCUUUUAUAUGGGAAUAAAACGUUCCACGUGUGGGAUUUUGUAUGUACCAUAUGAAUAAGGAACGGCUAACUCCGUGCCAGCAGCCGCGGUAAUACGGAGGAUCCGAGCGUUAUCCGGAUUUAUUGGGUUUAAAGGGAGCGUAGGUGGAUUGUUAAGUCAGUUGUGAAAGUUUGGGGCUCAACCGUAAAAUUGCAGUUGAAACUGGCAGUCUUGAGUACAGUAGAGGUGGGCGGAAUUCGUGGUGUAGCGGUGAAAUGCUUAGAUAUCACGAAGAACUCCGAUUGCGAAGGCAGUUCACUGGACUGCAACUGACACUGAGGCUCGAAAGUGUGGGUAUCAAACAGGAUUAGAUACCCCAGUAGUC